rnacentral:lncRNA from 1 species
GCCGGUGUUAGGUCACUGAGGGAGACACACAUCUAUGACUCAUGUGACCUCAGCCCUCCAGGACCUACCUUCCAGUUUGCUGGGUGUCAUAGCAGAUGCAGUAGGCAGACUGCUCGGACCAGCUCCACAUCCAUCCUCCAUUCACAAGAAAGGCUUCUUGCUGACUCUUCAGCCAUGAAAAGCGUGAAAGCACGGUCAGGAUUACAGGGACAGCCGGAGCUCAGUGAGGGGCUAAGAUCAGAGUGGACUGGCGACGUUGGGACUAUUUUCUGGGAGGGGCUGGUCUGCAGGUCUGGGAGCCCAAAAUUGGUUUCUGUACAUAUGUAUAUCAAAGACAAGUGCGGGACCUUGGCAUUCUCCCAAAGCUCCAGGUGAUUCUCCUGCACUGCCAGGGGCCAGCCACUAUUGCGGCACUUCCUACCUGGCCUCUGUGCCAGCUGCCUCCUUGGGUCACCUCUGUGAACCAUCAGACUGGUCUUCCUUUGGCUGACUUCAGGAAUUCUGCUUCAUUCAGGCCUGAGGCACAGGUUUUCUGGAAGUGGUUCACCAGCCUCUGGUCUCUGAUACAUUCACCCAGGGUAUCUGUUCUCAUCUUUUUCUGGGUCUUAAAUCAUUCAGGUAAGCUCUUUCCCCACCCCGAGUUUUGGAUCUGCCAUCCUCUCUCCUGUCUCAUGCCCUUUUCAGUAUGCUCUUUUGUCCCCUCACCACCUCCAUAGUAUUUAUUCCUAACAAUAGCAAAGAAGAGGUAGUGAAGUUGCAAAACCUGGGUACCUGAAAAACUAUGUACAGAGAGGAACAAAACAUAUAAUGUUCCCUAGUAUCUUUAGCCUCUGUUGACUGGGAAGGCAGAACUGGAGUUUAGAGAAACCUCAACAUACAGGAAUGGGAGUCCAGUCACUCUUUAACACACAAGCCAGCAAGCACGUCUCACAUGGGGAUGACAUUGGCUGUGUCUCUGAGUAUACAACAUUUGUUCCCCUCUUCACUACUUCACUUAAUGAUCACAAAUAAGCUGUGUGCUGCAGUGUGGAUUAAUUCCUUUGAUUUAAACAGGUUGCAAAGAGUCUACAGUGAGAGCAAGACUUCCUUUAUUCAGGGUUAGCCUGGUCCCCAGCACAAGGAAUCAGCUUCUCAAUGAGUUCAAUUGUCUCUGGGGUUUCUGUCCAUGUCCCGGAAAAGCUGUGCUCUUUAAAAGACCAAAGAAGAUGAUGGACGAAGUGAUCUGCUGUGUUUGCCUCUUGGGGAAAUCACGAGUCCAUGGGAAUAGAGUUGGGAUAUCCCUUCCUGUGGUUCUUCGGUUGUAACAUUAAAAUUUCCCCCCUCCCAGUCAGGUCUAUGUGUCAGAAGUUUUCCAGUUCUACCAAGGCCAAGAACAAAUGGACAGACAAGAUGAAUGAGUUGAUAUGAAAUGUUCUCUACGCCAUUACAUUGGGGCCCAAAGGUUGAGUCUGCUGAAUAAAUUUAAAAGAUAGCAUGGGCAGGGUACAGUGACACACUGUCUUUAAAAAAGACAAAAACAAAAAAUAGUAUGAUAUUUGUAAGUAAAAAAUACUUUCAGUACUCACAGUGAAUUUUUUUUAUGGUUCAAAUGAAAAAUAUUGGCGCGGUGGCUCAUGCCUGUAAUCCCAGCACUUUGGGAGCCUGAGGCGGGUGGAUCACGAGGUCAGUUCGAGACCAGCCUGCCCAACAUGGUGAAACCCUGCCUCAACUAAUAAUACAAAAAUUAGCCGGGCGUGGUGGUGUGCGUCUGUAAUCCCAGCUACUCAGGAGGCUGAGGCAGGAGAAUCACUCAAACCUGGGAGGCAGAGGUUGCAGUGAGCCAAGAUCAUGCCACUGCACUCCAGCCUGGGCAACAUAGUGAGACUCCGUCUCAAGAAAAAAAAAAAAAAAAAGGAAAAAGAAAAAUAUUAUAACAGCUUAGAGUUAGAGCUUAGAGUUAGUCUCAGAAAAUUAAGAAGGUUCUCAUUUGAGAAGCAAAAGUUCACUAUUACUGGAGUGAAUUGAAAAUCAGAGAGUUAAUAAAACUGUCUUCUUGGAGACUUCAAUGUAUUAAAUAACAUUUAAACAUCAUUUGUAGGCCGUGUGCAGUGGCUUACACCUGUAAUCCUAGUACUUUGGGAAGCUGAGGCGGGUGAAUCACCUGAGGUCAGGAGUUCGAGACCAGCCUGGCCAACGUGGUGAAACCCCGUCUCUACUAAAAAUACAAAAAUUAGCCAGGUGUGGCAGUGGGUGCCUAUAAUCCCAGCUACUCAGAAGGCUGAGGCAGGAGAAUAGCUUGAACCUGGGUGGGCGGAGGUUGCAGUGAGCCAAGAUGAUACCACUUCACUCCAGCCUGGGCAAAACAGCAAAAUUCUACCUCAAAAAAUAAAAAUAAAAAAUAAACAUCAUUUGUAGGUUUUUUAAAUCCCCAAAUUCUUUCCUGUGUCACCCAAGCCACCUGCCGACCUGAUCCUUAAGGUUUUUAAGCAGUAAAGCCUUUCUCUGUUUCAUAAGUUGGGUGGCCCCAGUGCUCCCCAUUUCUCCCUCACACAUGUGCUCUUCGCAGAAACAUGCAGAUGUCCUACAUCCACACCCAUACGGUUGGCCUGUCCAUGGCCUGGGUCUAAAAGAAACCCCGGCUUUUAAGGUUGCUGUUUUCUUUUUCCUUUAAAUCAUUGUAUUAAUGUUGACUCCAAAGCCCAAACAAAUAUGAUGCCAGGGAGAGGCACAGCAGGGCCAUAUGAAGGGAUUAGAUUUCUUUAAAUUACAAAAACAGUAAGAGCAGGAGGACUUUAAAGUCAACAUUUAAUAUUGAGCCAUGCUCAUGUUUUUGCUCCUUGGCUUAAAAAAACAAUAUUGCCAGAGUUGACUACAAAGCUCCUUAGCAAUGUCUGACACAGCUGAGAGAGGUGUGCAAACACCAAGUAGCAUCUAAAGAAGGGUCCCCUGCCCUUUGUAUCUUGGCCAAGGCUGGAAGUUCUGAGACUCUUGAGAAUAAUGUUUAUGCUCUUCACUCAUAGGAAAAUAAAGAAUAGUGUAUUAAAUGAUAUUUUUAUUUAUUAGUUUUUUUAAAGGUUGUCUUAGUCCAUUUGCAUUGCUAUAAUGGAAUGCCUGGGGCUGGGUAAUUCAUAAAGAAAAGAGAUUUAUUUGGCUCAUGGUUCUGCAGGUUAUACAGGAAGCACGGUACCAGCAUCUGCUCAGCUUCUGGUGAAGUCCUCAUGAAGUUUCUACUCAUGGUGGAAGGUGAAGGGGGAGAAAAUAAGUCACAGGACAAGAGAGGAGGAGGCCAAAGAGAGGGGAAGGAGGCAGCAGACUUAACAACCAGAUCUUGCAGGAGCCAAGAGUAAGAACUCACUCCAUCUUGUCAGAAUGGCAUCAAACUGUCCCGAGGAAUCCACCUCAUGACCCAAACACCUCCCACCAGGCCCCACCUGCAACACUGGGGAUCACAUGUCAACAUGAGACUUGGAGGGGACAAACAUUCAAGCUACAUCAAAGAUUCACUAUUCUGAACAAAAAAAAAAAAUGAGGAUAAGUGAAUAGAUCUGCCACCAAAACCCUACCCGCAAAAUUGUCUCUGAACUAUUUAGUCCCAGAAGCAGCAACAUCAGCAUCACUCAGGAAGUUGUAAGAAAUGCAGAUUCUCAGGCCCCUGCCUGGACUUGCUGAAUCAGAAACUCUAGGGGUGGGGCCCAGAAACAGGUGCUUUAACAAGCCCUCCAGGUGGCUCUGAGGCAAGCCCGAGGCUGAGCACUGUUAGUCUCACGCAAUUCACUACGUGAAAGACUGGAAGUGUCUGCAUGUAAGCCAACCAUAAGGCACUGCUUCAUUGCUUACUGAUGAGAGAUGAACCAAUAGGAUCUCAGAGAACCUGACCCAUAUUAUUAGCAUUUUGUUUGUUUGUUGUUUUUGUUUAAUUGAGACAGAGUCUCGCUCUUGUUGCCCAGGCUGGAGUGCAAUGGCGCGAUCUUGGCUCACUGCAACCUCCGUCUCCCAGGUUCAAGCAAUUCUCCUGCUUCAGCCUCCCAGGUAGCUGGGAUCACAGGCAUGUGCCAGCAUGCGCAACUAAUUUUGUAUUUUCAGUAGAGACAGGGUUUCAUCAUGUUGGUCAGGCUGGUCUCGAACUCCUGACCUCAUGUGAUCCACCCAUCUUGGCCUCCCAAAGUGCUGGGAUUACAAGCAUGAGACACCGCGCUGGCCUAACAUUUUUGUUUUCAUGCCAGAGGAAAAAGAAUCAGGUGGAGAUGAAUACACUGUUUCAUUAUGUUGUUUUCAGCCAAGGCCCAUUGGUGUAAAAUAUAUAAAAUCAACUGGGUGUCAAAAAAAGGUAAAAAAACAAACCCACUUAGAUGAUCUUUUUUUUCUUUGCAAUAGGAAAUAUAACAUAUUUAAUUUUCUUUCUCUUUUUCAGUUAACUGUGAGAAACAUAAGACAAAGCCAGGAAAGAUAACUCAGUUUUCUAUCAUGGUUAAUUAAGAGAGGCAACAGGUUUUACAAGAGUGCUGAUUUUCUUGAAGGGCAAAGACUUUCAUUCUAUCUCUUUAGUAUUCAGCCCACUCCUUAGUUUGAAAUAGGUGUCCAAUAAACAUUCACUGAAAUUAUGGCAAAAGGUAAAUAAGAGCAAGGAAAGAAGUACAAAGACAAAACAUAGAAAAACAGCCCAGAGAGAAAUAUAAACAUGAGAUAAAGAAAAAAAAUGAUAGAAACAUAUACAGAGAGAAAGAAGACAACAAGGGGAAAAGAAAGGAAAAAAUGACAGAGGUUAAAAGCAAAGAGAUGACACCUUGAGAUGCAAAGGACUAAACCGAUUUAUAAAUUAUAGGGACAAGGCUCACGAACUUCCAGUUCAAUAAUCUAGCUAAGGAAUGCAACAUUUCCCCUUUGAAAAAUUAUUUCUGAAAACCCUUGUCCCAAAAUACUGGCCAAUGUCAAAGCCCAAGAAGUAGAUUUUUAGGGGCUUUCCCUACUGGGAGAAGCACCUUUUGUCAAAUGGAGAUACUGGAUCUACAAUGAGUUGCUGUCCCAGGGUGCUCAAACCAAGGAGGGUGAAUAGCUAUGAGAAAUGGGGCAGAUUCUUGUAUGAAGAGAAGAGGGGAAGGAGAUCUUGGUUCUUUUAAAAUAUUCCACUUUGCAGAGAAUAUUUCUCAGAGUUUCAGCUGCAGCUGUUUCACAGACAUGUAAGCAUGGGAAACAUGGCUCAGUGGACCAAAGUCUGUGAAUUCUCACCUUGAACCACAAUUCACUGCUAACUUCUCAACCAGUCACUAUCCUAUCUCAUGCUUAGUUUUGUCUCUAAAAUGGGAAUAGACUAAUAUUAUAAGGUGCAGAAUAACCAACAAAAUUGUUCCUGAGAACUUAAAGAUGCAAACAGUAAUUACCUUUUAAAAUUUGUGAAUAGUGUUUUAUAGCAGUAACCUAAUAGUUCAAGAGUGAUUGUGGGCAGGGUUGGCCUAAGGGAAAAAUAUGAUUUGAUGUAAAUGUUGACAGCAGACAUCCAGUCACUCCAAAGAAGGGAUAUGAUUGUUCAAGAAAAGAUAAUCAGGGCCGGGCGUGGUGGCUCAUGCCUGUAAUCCCAGCACUUUUGGGAGGCCGAGGCCGGCGGAUCACUGGGUCAAGAGAUCAACACCCUCCUGGCCAACAUGGUAAAACCCCGUGUCUACCAAAAAUACAAAAAAAAUUAGCUAGGCAUGGUGGCACACUCUUGUAGUCCCAGCUACUUGGGAGGCUGAGGCAGAAGAAUCACUUGAACCUGGGAGGCAGAGGUUGCAGUGAGCCGAGAUCAUGCCACUGCACUCCAGCCUGGCAACAGAGCAAGACUCCGUCUCAAAAAAAGAAAGAAAGGAAGAAAGAGAAAGAAAGAAAGAAAAGAUAUCAGAAAGCACAAACUACCAUAAUACGCAAAAAGAGCCAGGUCUUAAAAGUUAUAGGACUUCAUCUGUUUCCAGGUAAGGGAAGUUUUUCCAGUUAACACUUUCAUUCAGUAAAGCACCAACCCUCCAUGCAGCGUCACUGGAGGCUGGACAUGCAUUUUGCCAUCUGGAAAUCAACAACAGAGUCCAAUAAGGUUAAACAACCCACACUUCCAUUCCUACCUUUCACACUCAAUCAAAUGUCCUUAUCUCUCUGUAGGCUAGAACUUCAAAUAAUGUGGAUAACAAGGUAUUUCGUGCACAAAUGGAAAAUAGAAUCCAUCUUACAGACAGUUCCAUAGCUUCUUAAGCUUGUUUGAACUUGCCAUUCUUUUGAUAUUUAAUGGAAAUCAAUCCCUAAACAUCAUACAGAGGAAACAAAUUAAAGAGUUAAACUUUUUGCUCAAAGAAAAACAUUACAAAGAAAAGAGGGGUAAUAGUGAGAAACAACAUGGAAAUAUUUGUUGUCUAUACAUGUAUGGAGAUGUAAGUCUCCACAUAAAGAUAUAUGCUAUCCUUCAAUCUCUAUGAAGAAACUUCUUCUCUACCUUCCUUUUAAGAGUGGCAGAUCUGGGCUGGGCGCAGUGGCUCACGCCUGUAAUCCCAGCACUUUGGGAGGCCGAGGCGGGCAGAUCACGAGUUCAGGAGAUAGAGACCAUCCUGGCUAACACGGUGAAACCCCGUCUCUACCAAAAAUAUAAAAAUUAGCUGGGCAUGGUGGUGCGUGCCUGUAAUCCCAGCUACUCAGGAGGCUGAGGCAGAAGAAUUGCUUGAACCCGGGAGGUGGAGGUUGCAGUGAGCUGAGAUUGUGCCACUGCACUCCAGCCUGGGGGAACAGAGCCAGAACCCGUCUCAAAAAAAAAAAGUGGCAGAUCUGAAUUUCUGUGCAUCUCACAUUGGCCCUUUGGUGGCUUACUGUGUAUAUCUUCAAAGCAAAGAGUACUGGGGCAAUGGGAAGACAUUUUUCCUUGUGCAACACUAUCCUAACAAGUGUGGUUAUUAUUGAAUCAACUUAUCUAACUGGACAAAUAAUAUCUAAGCUUCCAUGUGAGUAUUAUUUUAUCAAAAAAAUGUACUUAUAGCAUUUUCUAUUGAUUAGAUUGUUACACUAUUUUUUAAAAAUAAAAAGAAAAGGCAAGACUUUGAUUAUGUGGCUGCUAAAACAUAACAAUGACCUUGGGUGAAGCCUGAGAGACAGCACUUCCCUUGCUGACUUAUGACAAAUAUUCAAAGGCAUGGAAUUCUAGGGCAAGGAAAAGACAACGUAGAUUUAGCCCAUUAACAAAGUCCCUAUCUUGUCAUUUAAAGCUCUUUCUCCACUUGAAGAAAAUACAAGGUUGAUUUUACUAGGACCUGUUGUUAGGUUUCCAACAUCACGUGUCUCUUGCAUUUGUGAACAGAUUCUGGCAGAACACAAGAGAGGAGGCAAUUAAAAUGUUAAGUUCCGUGUACACAAGAAAAAUAAAGUGGUAUAAGUGUUCAUAUUUAA